CAUCGUCUGGUUCCUGCUGCUUUUUAAAUUUAGUCCAGAAACAUGAAGCAGGAUCGACGUUCAUAUUAGAUCAGAUCUUCUCUUCAGGUCGUUAUCAGACUCCACCAGAUCUUUGGAGCUGAACACUUGGAGGAAACGUGUCCUGGUCCAGACGUGUUCGUCUCAGGAGACAAGUCACAGAUUAAACGACGCUUAAACAUAGAAAGCUGCUGUUUCUUCUUCUUUUUGGUUUAGUUUAAGGAAAUGUUGCAGAGCUUCUGUUUUUUUAUCUGCAGGCAUCCAUCCACUAAUGAACAAGCUAACACAAGCUAACACACGCUAACACAAGCUAACACAAGCUAACUUUGGGAGAGAACAUGAAUAAUCAGUGAAAUGCAAAAGAGACAAUGAGUGAAAGUUUAAGAAAUAAAUGAAAAUCUCAGACUCUGGUCAUAUGAGUUUUUUUAUAUUAUCUCGCUAACAAACAUAAAUAAAUCCAUGGUCAGUUCAUCAUGUGGCGCUGAGACUAAACCAGGCUAUGAUGGUGUCAGACGUCCAUAAAUGGUCAUCACAUUGUCCCCUGUGGUUCUUAACGUGUCUGUUUGUUGUUCCAGUCUCAAAGAUUUGUAGAUGACGGCGUCUUUGCUGAUUCCAGCUGAGGAUGAUUCUCUUCCUGCUGCAGGAACCGUACGGGUUUAUUAUCCAGUCAGAUCCACUCUGUGCAUGUUUAACAGCGCUGACUACGAAGCGUUUUCCUCUCCUGUGCAGGUCUAACCAUCCUGAUGAUGGGUCGGGAUGAAUGAGUGAGUGUUGGAGGCGGAGCUGGAGGCGGAGCUGGAGGAUGAGGAGCAUCGUUGGUUUCUCUCUGGCUGUAGAACUGAAGCGUCUCGGAGGUAAUUCCUGCUGCGUUAGAGCCGUCAGCCUCGUCACCACCGAUCACCGGCUCCAUGAGCAUGAAACGAGCUCUACGCCAGCCCCCCCCCUCCCUCCCUCCCUCCCUGGGGGGGGUGAGGAGGAGGAGGAGGAGGAGGUGGAGGGGUUACCUGCCUCCCCGUAGCCGUGGCAACCUGGCCCGGUCCUCUCAGCCUCCGGCAGCAGAGAUUGAGCUGUCACAUCCCAUCACAGGGAGAAUCCGUUCAUUCAGGAGGUUCUGCUCGGCUCUGAUCAGAUGUGGUCCAACAUGAGGAGGCGGCGCCGCAGGACGAGCAGUUUAUCAUGUUCUGUCUCCUCCGUUAGUCCUGGGGACGAUACAGGGACGUGUAUGGAAGGACAAAGAGGUCAAAACCCACCAGAACCGAUCUUUACAUGGAGGCAGCUGCUUGUUCUGUGGGCUGAAUGCUAACAGCAGCAUGCUAACCAGCAGGUGUAGUGUUAACCACCUUAUCUUAGCGUGUUAGCAUGCUAACACUAGCGUAAGCGGCUCCUUACAGUCUCCUCCUGAACUUUCAGUAAAGUGACAUUAAUUAAUCAGAGGAAGAAACUUUCUGGUCCUUUGACCUCGUUCGUCUUCAUGUUCAGAUUAAAUUAAUUAAAGUUUUACCUCCAGACACGUAGACGCUGGACAAUUCUCCACCGUCCUCCAAGAAAAGCUGCCGUCACUCAAACUCACCACAAUGAUAAAGGUUUUAGUCAAACACAGCGUGAACCUGCUUUAAUUUACACCAGUUUGAUCAGAUAAGUUCCUGUAGACGCUGUGUCUGCACUGAAACAGAGACGCCCUCCUUAUACACGGCUCUGUUCUAUUCUAUUCUAUUCUAUUCUAAUCUAUGUUGUAUUUAUCUUUAAUAAGCAGAAGCAGCUGGAAAUACUAAAGAGGAAACUAACAGUUCUGCCAGGACCAACAAACACUGUUGGAAUCUUUUCUGUCGUUCUCGUUUCUAUAUUUUAUGCCCUUGUGUUUGUGUUCUUUAUUUCUAUAUUUGUGUGAGCGGCGUCUCUUGGUCUCUCAGGUCAAACCAGUCAGCUGCUGUUGUGUCUUGUUUUUAUUUUGUCUCUUGUUAAAAACUCCCGGUAAUAGAAGUGAAAGCACAGAUCAGCUCCUGUGAGCUUUAAACUACCUGCACCAACUUUAACAGGAAGUAAUUACAACCAGGAGAGACGAGUCUGGAUGAGUCUGGAUGAGUCUGGACGAGUCUGGACGGGACAGAGAGGACUUUGACCGUUACCGUCCAUCUCGUGCUCACAUAGCCGCCGUCUUCCAGACGAUCAGUUUUAAUAAAAUGCUUUCAGACUGAAUUAAUUAGAAAACAUCUGGUUCUGAUUCUGUGUCUGUAAAGGAGCCUCAGUGGUUCUGAUGACUCCAUCAGACCCUGACCCCCCUGAGUCAGGACCAGGGUCAGCGCCCCCCAAGUCUGAAAACUGGUUCACGAUAAUCUGAAGAUAAACAUCACGUCUGGAGACUCUCUGGGACCUCACUGUGAUGUCCCUGUCUCUGAUGUCUAUGAUGUCUCUGUCUCUGUCUCAGUCUCUGUCCCUGAUGUCUCUGUCUCAGUCUCUGUCCCUGAUGUCUCUGUCUCUGUCUCACACUGAUGACGGGUGACGUCCUCCAGCCUCAGAGGUCAGAGGUCGAGCUUCCCCUUCCUUCCAUAGGAACCACUGUAAACGCCCGGAGGAAGGAGAUGAUGCUGAGGAGACCAGCUCUCAGUCUGACGGGAUGUCAGAGCAGACGAGCUCUUAGAGCCUCUAUUACCCAUCACACGCCUGGUUCAUCAUCUACCUGAGAUCAACUCAUCACGAUUCAUCACGAUCAAACUGGUCCUCGUCAAUCAUGUUCAGGUUGGAGGAGCCGAGGGACGAUGACAACAUGAAACACGACACUGAUCACGAGUUUCCUUCUGCAGGGUCACAGCAUCUGAUUUUGGUUGGAUCUGACCUGGUUUCUAAACUGUCCUGAGCGUCCAUCGGAUCCAUUCAGCCGAUGGCCCAUGGAUCCAGACCUGCAGAGCUCAGUGAGGUGGAUCAUUCCUGCACAGCUGGUUGUUGUUGUCUUUCUUAAACACUGAGUCCAAGGAGGAAACUGUGGAAGCAGAACAGCUGCUGACGGCUCCACAAAUAUCCUGCUGGAUCCUGAUUACAGUUUAUCGAGCGGUGGCGAUAACGCGUUGACCGGCCGCCGCUCUGCAGAGGUCAUGGAGAGGAGAAGCCUCGGCCUCAGGUUUCUCCUGGGCCCUGGACUCCAGCAGGAAACCGUCUGAAACCGAAGCCCUGUGUCUCCUACAGGUCCGGACUGGACCAUCUGAGACGCUGCUGCUCCUCAGAGAUGAGAGGGAAACAAAGGUCGAGCUGAAGGCAACAAUUAAACAGGCCGACCUCCGUCUUCCUGUCCAGAGGGCGAUAAUUACCGGAGACAGAGCGUCUCUGUGCAGCCGAACGCCGAGUCAUUUCACCGAGUGUGAACGGGGCCACGACAUCAGGAGAAGGAACCGAGGAGAUGGAGGCUGACAGAGGCCGGUGGAGGCUGACGGAGGCCGGUGGAGGCUGGUGGAGGCUGGUGGAGGCCGGUGGAGACUGACGGAGGCCGGUGGAGGCUGGUGGAGGCUGGUGGAGGCUGACGGAGGCUGACGGAGGCCGGUGGAGACUGACGGAGGCCGGUGGAGGCUGGUGGAGGCUGGUGGAGGCUGACGGAGGCUGACGGAGGCCGGUGGAGACGUUUCUUGGCAGGACGACUCAAACAGACGAGACCUGGAGCUGGGCUGCAAACCAAAUCCAACCUGACUGAGAGGAAUCGAUUGAGAAUAAUGGACGAUGGUGAAGACAUGAGCAGAGCUUCUAAAUGUAAACCACAGUGGAUGAGGUCUUUUAGAGUUUGCAUCGGCUCCUGGAAGUCGUGGCUCAUCUUUGACUUUCAACCAAUGAAGGUUUGUGAGAUUUUCUGGAUUUAAAGGAAAACCAGAAGACGAGAUCCAUCAUAUGUACAAUUUGUAAUAUAAAUCAGAGUAUCAUCUGCGUAUAAGUUUACUUUUACCUUAAUCAUCACAGAGCGCCAUGCUCAGGGGUAGAAUGACUUCAGGUCUUUUAAAGAUCUAGGGAUGGGAACCAUGACGGCCCUGGUGCCAGUGAGUUAGCUUAAUUAGCUUAGCCUCCUUAGCUCUAUUGCUGCAGUUUGUCUAAAGUUUGUCUGAACUUCACCUCUAAAGAUGCAACAAGGAGGAAACACCUGGAAUUAUAUUCAA